rnacentral:rRNA from 1 species
UACGGAGGAUCCAAGCGUUAUCCGGAUUUAUUGGGUUUAAAGGGUGCGUAGGCGGACUGUCAAGUCAGCGGUGAAAGUCCAUGGCUCAACUAUGGAAUUGCCGUUGAAACUGGUGGUCUUGAGUGUAGAUGAGGUGGGCGGAAUUCGUAGUGUAGCGGUGAAAUGCUUAGAUAUUACGAAGAACUCCAAUUGCGUAGGCAGCUCACUAGGCUACAACUGACGCUGAGGCACGAAGGUGCGGGGAUCAAACAGG